rnacentral:tRNA from 1 species
GUUGUGGGCUCAGUGGUAGAGCACUAGUCUAGCAUGUGAGAGGCCUUGGGUUCUAUCCUCAUCACCACA